UUAGCCAAACUGCCAAACUGCAGGCAGUCAGCAGAAGUAGCCUGCAGUACUCUCACCACUGCGCCCCCAGGACUCAUGCUAGAUUGUGAUUGAAAUGUAAGCCUUCAAUAUGAAAUUUAGGGUUCCUCAGAUGUGCAGUGAUAUGUAGCAUCUAUAAUUUCCAAUAAGCAUAAAUAACAAUUACACUGGCUGGAAGUAACAGAAGACGAAACAAACACACAUGGAAAGUAUUCAAGCUAAAUCAAGUAAUCAAUUAAAGCUUUAUGGCCUGAUAUUGUCCUUGCUAAACAGUUUUUAGGUCAUUAAUUUUAUUAAAAUUCUACCUUUCUUCAAUGUUUUAGUAAGUGCUCAAAACGCCCAUUUUACAGCUUGAGAUACGAGGCAUAAAUAGAUUUAAAAAAUUUGUACUGCUAUCAUCAUCUUAGAAAAGAAGUUCCCUUCUUUUCCACUAAAAAGAAUUUGGAGAAAGCUAACUAUGGCAGUUUUAAAAAAUUAUUUGUCUCCGAAGUGGGGCGUGGGACAAGACACCAAUGGGUAUUAAUACAGCCAUUAGCUCAGAGACUGAGGUAGAAUUUGAGGCCACUCCCUCUACUCCUCCUCUUGACUCUCCAGAUUAACCUCAGUCUUUGGCCCAGAAGGAGUACUUUUUGUUGGCUCUCCAUUUGGUUCGAGACAAUCACCUUUCCUAAUUUGUUCCUUCCUAAUUCUUGAUUCCUUCCACCUCGCUCAUCUGAGCCUCUGUGAAUUGCCUUUAUUGCACAAGCUCUUCGCUAUGCAAGGUUAAAGCCACGGCUGAUCUGGACUCCCCAGACUCCAACCAGGCAGCUGCCACUCAUAGCACCAGUGGUGAGAAGGGGCCUUUUCAUGGGCCUCAUGUGGAAAAGGAGGAGAUUUCUACCCCAGAUCUCUUCCUGGAAGUGCUAAAGUCUCAGUGGGCUAAGCCUGGUACCUUCCCCACCCCAGGGAGCAAUGAUCGCAGGUUUUACAACCUUAACACUACCUUCGCCCAAGCCCUACAGAUUCCUUCCAUUGAUGCUCCAGUGGCACGCCUGGCCUCUUCCUCUGCGGUGGUGAUGGGGGACAUCUCCAACUGUCUGAAGUCGGAGGAUAAGAGAGUGGAGUUGGUCAUGCUCAAGACCUUCCAGGCCGUGACGUGGGCGAUCAGGGUGGCAGCUGCAGCUUCCUUCUUCAACAGGUCCACCCUGCUAUGGCUGGAACAACUCCGGGACAGGAUGCCAGCGUCGGACAUGCGACUGCUGCAGGACAUUACAAAGUUGAUGGCAGCUACCCAGUUUUCGGCGGAUGCCAAGAUUGUUGCAGUUAAGUAUUCCUCCAGAGCGCUGUCCUCCUCGGUGGCCUCCAGACGCUUGCUGUGGCUGUGCAACUGGCAGGCUGAGUCCCGGGCGAAAUGGCAUUUGGCAGGGGUGGAGUACACGGGCAACAAAUUAUAUGGCCCUUCCCUGGACCCCAUACUCAUUGAGGACAGGAACAAGUUCAAGGUCUUCCUUUCUACGUCCAAGCGUUUAGACCACCACUCAGCACCCUAUUCCAGGAGGUCCUCCAGGAGGUCCUCCUAUUGUAACCCUGAGCAAGAAUUCCAGCAGCUGAGGUAUUCUGCCCCCAGAUUCCCCAGGCAGGGGGAUAGACAAUUCUCCAGGGAUAGAUUCAGAUUCCAACAGUCCAGCAAACAUCCCUUUUGAGGAGGGGGCGGCCUCCCCUUCAGCAGGCAGAAGUGAUUUGAGCUCGGAUCACCCGAUUGACGGCCGCCCCUCCUUGUUUGCGGAUCGCUGGGAUCGCAUCACCACGGAUGCAUGGGUACUCCAAACUGUUAAAUCCAGAUUGUGGCUGGAGCUCCGCUCCCAUCCCCCAAAUAGAUUCCAGAUCUUCCCCUCCUCCAAGAACCCGAUCAAGCGCUUCCUCAUGCGCAAGGCCAUCCGGCACCUACUGGACAUCAAGGCAGUGGAGCUGGUUCCAGAGGGGGAGAAGGGGGUCAGGAUUCUAUUCAAACUUGUUUGUCGUCCCCAAGAGCUCAGGGGGGUGGAGGGCUAUCUUGGAUCUCAAGCUGCUAAACUCCAGGCUUGUCUACCAUAACCUUAAGAUGGCUUCCCUCAAGUCUAUGCUGGAAGGGAUCAGGCAGGGGGACUUCCUAGCCUCAAUUGAUCUCACAGAAGCCUAUCUACACAUCAUGAUUGCCCCAGAGCACCAGAGGUUCCUUAGAUUCUCAUAUGGGGGCACCCAUUACCAAUACAGGGCCCUCCCCUUCAGGUUGGCCUCUGCCCCCAGGACCUUCACCAAGGUACUGGCUGUGGCAGCAGCUCACCUUUAAGCCCAUCCGGUCCAGUUACAUUGCUACCUUGAUGACAUCCUCGUGCUAGUCACGUCGGCUGACCGGGCCGAGAGGGAUCUGGGUCUCACUAUCACCACCUUACAGUCCCUGGGGUUCUCGAUCAAUCUCGAGAAAAGCCACCUGGUUCCCACCACCAGGCUCCAACAUUUGGGGACCAUCAUUGACUCGGUGGAGUAUGAGGUGUUCCUGUUUCAGGAACGCAGGGACAGUAUUGUAGAGCUGAUUCAAGAAAUUCGCAAGUCUCUCUCUGUUUCCGUAGCUCUUCUUUCCAGGCGCCUUGGCAAGCUCAUCUCAUGCAUUGGGAUAGUGCUCUGGGCCCAUCUCCACGCCAGAGAACUGCAAUGGUUCCUGCUUCCACAUCAGCGGGACGGGAUGAGCGACACAAGCUUCAAGGUCCUCAUGACACCCCAGGUGCUGCAUUCCCUCCGUUGGUGGAUAUCUCAGGCUCUGGCAGACCUGGUGGUGAUGUCGACUCUUCCCCAUUGGAGGAUCCCGCGGGAGGAGGUGGCCCUGCGCCAGGGGAGCCUGGAACACCCGGACUCAGAAUGGCUCCACCUAACCAUUUGGCGCUUGAGCGGGAGCAGCUAAGGGAGGCCCAAUUCUCUGCCAGGGUCAUCAAAACCAUCGAGGCGGCUAGAAGGAACUCUACUAUCUGCAUCUAUGAUGCUAUCUGGGCUUCCUUUGUGGCCCGGUGUCGGUCUGCGCAGGUAGAACCGACAUCGCCUCAGUCCCUCAAGUGCUGGACUUCCUCCAGGAUGGCUUGGAGAAAGGGCUGGCCCACAGUACCCUCAGGAGGCAGAAAGUAGCCUUAGCCACAGUCCUUGGAGGGGUGGGGUCCCAAUCCUUAUCCCAGCACCCGGUCUUAAAGAGGUUCCUCAGGGGGGCAGCAAAUCUUUGGCCUCCAGUGGUCCACCGCUUCCCCACCUGGGACCUUCCCAUGGCCCUCCAGGCUCUGAUGGAGGUGAGCUUGCAGUUUCUGACACUCAGGGUAGUCUUCCUCGUAGCGAUUACCUCGGCGAAGAAGGCGUCCGAGCUCAAUGCUCUGUCCACCAGGACAGAUCCCUGUACCUUCCACGACAACAGAGUCGUGCUCAGACUUGAUCCUGCCUUCCUUUCUAAAGUCAACUCCCCCUUUCAUAGGGCUCAGGAGGAAGUUCUACUGGACUUCUGCCCAGCUCCUUCCAGAGGAUUGGACAUAAGAAGGGCACUGCAUAUUUACCUGAAGCGCACAGCUGCCCUUAGAUGGUCGAAGGCGCUUUUUGUCUCCUUCCAGCACUUGACACAAGGAGCAAAGGUAUCUCCAGCCACCAUCAGAAGAUGGAUUAAGCUAUCCAUCUCCAAGGCCUAUGAGGUGCGAGGGCUCCCGGUGCCAGAGGGCAUCACCGCACACUCCACCAGGAGCACGGCUACCUCUAAGGCCUGGCCCACCCAGGCACCCAUCACGGAUAUUUGUAGAGCAUCCGUCUGGUCUUCGCCCUCGCCCUUCAUUAGGCACUACCGGCUGGAUGCCUCUGCCUCCGCGGAGGCAUCCUUUGAUUGGAGGGUUCUUCAGGAAGUGCUGGACACUUGGUGGGCUCAGGCCCAAUGAUCCCUCCCAUGGACAUCUAGCUUUGGUAUGUCCCAUUGUUGAUUCCUCCCAUGCCCCACUCUGGAGACUGUCAGUUGGUCUUACCUGAACUGCAUGUCUUGAAGGUGGCGUGGGAGUAGUCACUUCCCAACUGUUCAGUGCGCCUCUGCACAUGAGGGGCCUGAGCUGGUUAGUUACUGGUCAGUCAGGGACCAGUGAAGGAAUUGGUGUGUUUUCCUGUUCCCUUCUUUCCCAGGUUCAGCCUCGACUAGACCAUCAGUUAAUCUGGAGAGUCAAGAGGAGGAGUAGAGGAAGUGGCCUCAAAUUCUCCCUCAGUCUCCGGGCAAAUGGGCUGUGUUAAUACCCAUUGGUGACUACUCCCACGUCACCUUCGAGACAUGCAGUUCAGUCAGCUUGAAGGUGUUGGGCUGAGGAGCUCCAAAGAAGAUAAUCUGCUCAUACUGGAAAGUUUCCAGAGGCUUUGGCUCUCCCCGUUUGUACAGUGACACAUUCUCCGUAUUGACGCUGAGCCAAAGGUCAUUUGGAAAGCCCCCUUCUUUGCACUAUAUGAAAAGAACCAAGAAGUGUUAGCAAACAGGGAAGGUAUAACUGAGGAAACUGCUUUUGUCCAAAAUUGACAGGAAGUACGUGAUGUAUAAACAGAUCUUUUUCCUGCUCCAGCCUCAGCCUCUUUCAACCCUUGUCUUUUACCACUAGUACUUUUUAAAAAAAUAUUUCUCAAAACAACAGGUGAAAAGUAUUACAUUAAAAUGGCUUCUUUCUUAC